rnacentral:rRNA from 1 species
GAUGAACGCUGGCGGCGUGCCUAAUACAUGCAAGUCGAGCGAACAGACGAGGAGCUUGCUCCUCUGACGUUAGCGGCGGACGGGUGAGUAACACGUGGAUAACCUACCUAUAAGACUGGGAUAACUUCGGGAAACCGGAGCUAAUACCGGAUAAUAUAUUGAACCGCAUGGUUCAAUAGUGAAAGACGGUUUUGCUGUCACUUAUAGAUGGAUCCGCGCCGCAUUAGCUAGUUGGUAAGGUAACGGCCUACCAAGGCAACGAUGCGUAGCCGACCUGAGAGGGGGAUCGGCCACACGGGAACUGAGACACGGUCCAGACUCCUACGGGAGGCAGCAGUAGGGAAUCUUCCGCAAUGGGCGAAAGCUUGACGGAGCAACGCCGCGUGAGUGAUGAAGGUCUUCGGAUCGUAAAACUCUGUUAUUAGGGAAGAACAAAUGUGUAAGUAACUAUGCACGUCUUGACGGUACCUAAUCAGAAAGCCACGGCUAACUACGUG